UGGCCUCGGCCAUCUUUGCUCCCACCUCAUACAUUGCAUCCCUUUCAAGUCGGCCUUGGCCCUGGGCCUCACGCAGGCCCUCCCCACCCUCUCUCGUCUCCCCAGGGACCCCCACAGAAGAGACGUGGCCCGGCGUGACCGCCUUCUCUGAGUUCCGCACCUACAGCUUCCCCUGCUACCUCCCGCAGCCGCUCAUCAACCACGCGCCCAGGUUGGAUACGGAUGGCAUCCACCUCCUGAGCAGCCUGCUCCUGCUGCCUCCAUCUUCUCCCUGAAGGAGAUCCAGCUCCAGAAGGACCCAGGCUACCGAGGCUUGGCCUUCCAGCAGCCAGGACGAGGGAAGAACAGGCGGCAGAGCAUCUUCUGAGCCACGCCCACCUUGCUGUGGCCAAGGGACAAGAGAUCACAUGGAGCACAAAUUCGGGUAGGAUGGAGCCUGUGUGGCCCUCGGAGGACUGAAGAACGAGGGCUGACAGCCAGCCUGGAAGACCGCUUGGCAGCCCUUCUGGCCACGGCUGUUUCUUCUUUGUGCUUCCCGUGU
rnacentral:sRNA from 1 species